rnacentral:rRNA from 1 species
GAUGAACGCUAGCGGCAGGCCUAAUACAUGCAAGUCGAACGGUAAGGCUUCUUCGGAAGUACACGAGUGGCGGACGGGUGCGUAACGCGUAUGCAACUUACCUUCAACUGGGGGAUAGCCCGUGGAAACAUGGAUUAAUACCCCGUAAUGUGUAGAUAUCGCAUGGUAUUUACAUUAAAGAUUUAUUGGUUGAAGAUGGGCAUGCGUCUGAUUAGCUAGUUGGCGGGGUAACGGCCCACCAAGGCAACGAUCAGUAGGGGACCUGAGAGGGUGAUCCCCCACACUGGCACUGAGAUACGGGCCAGACUCCUACGGGAGGCAGCAGUAGGGAAUAUUGGUCAAUGGGCGAGAGCCUGAACCAGCCAUGCCGCGUGCAGGAAGACGGCCUUCUGGGUUGUAAACUGCUUUUAUACGGGAACAAAAUACCCUUGCGAGGGAGCUUGCGUGUACCGUAUGAAUAAGCACCGGCUAACUCCGUGCCAGCAGCCGCGGUAAUACGGAGGGUGCAAGCGUUGUCCGGAUUUAUUGGGUUUAAAGGGUGCGUAGGCGGCUGAUUAAGUCUGUGGUGAAAGGUCCCAGCUCAACUGGGGAAUUGCCAUGGAUACUGGUCAGCUUGAUUACGGUGGAGGUAAGUGGAAUUGAUGGUGUAGCGGUGAAAUGCAUAGAUACCAUCAAGAACACCAAUAGCGUAGGCAUCUUACUACGCCGUAAAUGACGCUGAGGCACGAAAGCAUGGGUAUCGAACAGGAUUAGAUACCCUGGUAGUCCAUGCUGUAAACGAUGAUCACUCGCUGUUGGCGAUAUUACAGUCAGCGGCCAAGCGAAAGCAUUAAGUGAUCCACCUGGGGAGUA